UGAAACACGAAGAAUCAGCGUACCUCCUGAAAGGCAAGCAUGGUUGGUGUUGGGAUGGAGAAGAUUGCUUGUCUGCUUCUCUGUCUUACUCUCCUCUCCGACAGAGGGGACUGUUUAUCCGAAGAGACACUUCAGCCUAUUAUGAAAGAAAUGUUGAAGAGGACACAUAAUGUCUCUUCAGGUUUAACCAAUCGCAAUUGAAACAACAAAUAAAAAUGAUAAACCGGGGAAAGACUGAAAAAAUGGCUACAGGCCAACAGUACAGUUUUGCUCUUCAUCUCUCACCAAAUGACUGUAAUCAAGGAAAGCUGGGAGACAACAUCCCUGCAGACUUCAAAGGCCUCAGGGACACUAUAGCAAAAGAAAAGGUGUACAACAACUAUGGUGUUGUUGCAGCACUCCCUGUCCACCACUAUCAAAGUGGUAAAAUUAGGUAUACAGACCAUUCAGAAUACAGAGUCCUCACAGAACUAGGACAAACAAUUGCGCCUGGAUGCCUGAUUGUCUUUACUUAUUUCAGCCCUUGUUUCUCCAAGUGCCUGAACAAUAACAACACGGCUAAUAUCACUAAACUGCUCACGAACUUAAGAGACAUAAACCAAAACAGACCCAUUGUAUUAGUUUUCAGUUCAUUGUUUCAUUAUGACAUGGACAAUAAUGAAAAAAAAGUAAUUUAUGAGAAUCUGAAAAAAAUCCCGGUCCAGGUUUACUGCUAUAAUGAAACACGUAACACAGUUACCAAAUUUGAUGAAAAUAAAGAUAUGAAUCAGCACUGCCUUUCACAAAAAAAAAACUGAACCUAAAUAUAGUUCAGUGAUUUAUAUGAUCACUUCUUUUAAAGCAAUAUACUGUAUUUCUGUUGUGCUGUGAUAAUGUGAUUGGUGUGAUAAUGCAAUAGUUUUCUCUUUUAAUGUCCAUCAUCUGAAAAAAAUCCCGGUCCAGGUUUACUGCUAUUAUGAAAUAGAUAACAGCGUUAAAGGUGCCCUAUUUGAUAAAAAUAAAGAUAUGAAUCAGCACUGUCUUUCAGAAAAAAAAUGAACCUGAUGGAAAUGCAGUUUUUUAAAGCAAUAUACAGUAUUUGUGGUGUGCUAUGAUACUUGGUGUGCUAUGAUACUUGGUGUGAUAAUGCAAUAGUUUUCUCUUUUAAUGUCCAUCAUGAAUGAUUUCAAAUGCUAAAUGGCUUUUAAAAUAGCACAGAAUAAAAUAAAAGAAUGCAAGCAAUUCAUAA